rnacentral:rRNA from 1 species
CGCUAUCACUCCUACGGGAGGCAGCAGUGGGGGAAUAUUGCACAAUGGGGGAAACCCUGAUGCAGCCAUGCCGCGUGUGUGAAGAAGGCCUUCGGGUUGUAAAGCACUUUCAGUAGGGAGGAAGGUAGUGUAGUUAACACCUGCAUUAUUUGACGUUACCUACAGAAGAAGCACCGGCUAACUCCGUGCCAGCAGCCGCGGUAAUACGGAGGGUGCGAGCGUUAAUCGGAAUUACUGGGCGUAAAGCGCAUGCAGGCGGCCUGUUAAGUCAGAUGUGAAAGCCCGGGGCUUAACCUCGGAAUUGCAUUUGAAACUGGUAGGCUAGAGUCUUGUAGAGGGGGUAGAAUUUCAGGUGUAGCGGUGAAAUGCGUAGAGAUCUGAAGGAAUACCAGUGGCGAAGGCGGCCCCCUGGACAAAGACUGACGCUCAGAUGCGAAAGCGUGGGGAGCAAACAGGAUUAGAUACCCUGGUAG